rnacentral:rRNA from 1 species
GCUAUACAUGCAGUCGAGCGGACAGAAGGGAGCUUGCUCCCGGAUGUUAGCGGCGGACGGGUGAGUAACACGUGGGUAACCUGCCUGUAAGACUGGGAUAACUCCGGGAAACCGGAGCUAAUACCGGAUAGUUCCUUGAACCGCAUGGUUCAAGGAUGAAAGACGGUUUCGGCUGUCACUUACAGAUGGACCCGCGGCGCAUUAGCUAGUUGGUGAGGUAACGGCUCACCAAGGCGACGAUGCGUAGCCGACCUGAGAGGGUGAUCGGCCACACUGGGACUGAGACACGGCCCAGACUCCUACGGGAGGCAGCAGUAGGGAAUCUUCCGCAAUGGACGAAAGUCUGACGGAGCAACGCCGCGUGAGUGAUGAAGGUUUUCGGAUCGUAAAGCUCUGUUGUUAGGGAAGAACAAGUGCAAGAGUAACUGCUUGCACCUUGACGGUACCUAACCAGAAAGCCACGGCUAACUACGUGCCAGCAGCCGCGGUAAUACGUAGGUGGCAAGCGUUGUCCGGAAUUAUUGGGCGUAAAGGGCUCGCAGGCGGUUUCUUAAGUCUGAUGUGAAAGCCCCCGGCUCAACCGGGGAGGGUCAUUGGAAACUGGGAAACUUGAGUGCAGAAGAGGAGAGUGGAAUUCCACGUGUAGCGGUGAAAUGCGUAGAGAUGUGGAGGAACACCAGUGGCGAAGGCGACUCUCUGGUCUGUAACUGACGCUGAGGAGCGAAAGCGUGGGGAGCGAACAGGAUUAGAUACCCUGGUAGUCCACGCCGUAAACGAUGAGUGCUAAGUGUUAGGGGGUUUCCGCCCCUUAGUGCUGCAGCUAACGCAUUAAGCACUCCGCCUGGGGAGUACGGUCGCAAGACUGAAACUCAAAGGAAUUGACGGGGGCCCGCACAAGCGGUGGAGCAUGUGGUUUAAUUUCGAAGCAACGCGAAGAACCUUACCAGGUCUUGACAUCCUCUGACACCCUAGAGAUAGGGCUUUCCCUUCGGGGAC